rnacentral:rRNA from 1 species
UACGAAGGGGGCUAGCGUUGCUCGGAAUCACUGGGCGUAAAGCGCACGUAGGCGGACUCUUAAGUCGGUGGUGAAAUCCUGGAGCUCAACUCCAGAACUGCCUUCGAUACUGAGAGUCUUGAGUCCGGGGAGAGGUGAGUGGAACUGCGAGUGUAGAGGUGAAAUUCGUAGAUAUUCGCAAGAACACCAGUGGCGAAGGCGGAUCUCUGGGCCUGUCCUGACGCUGAGGCGCGAAAGCUAGGGGAGCGAACAGG